AGCGAACGCUGGCGGCAGGCUUAACACAUGCAAGUCGAGCGCCCCGCAAGGGGAGCGGCAGACGGGUGAGUAACGCGUGGGAAUCUACCCAUCUCUACGGAAUAACGCAUGGAAACGUGUGCUAAUACCGUAUACGUCCUUCGGGAGAAAGAUUUAUCGGAGAUGGAUGAGCCCGCGUUGGAUUAGCUAGUUGGUGGGGUAAAGGCCUACCAAGGCGCAUAUCCAUAGCUGGUCUGAGAGGAUGAUCAGCCACACUGGGACUGAGACACGGCCCAGACUCCUCCGGGAGGCAGCAGUGGGGAAUAUUGGACAAUGGGCGCAAGCCUGAUCCAGCCAUGCCGCGUGAGUGAUGAAGGCCCUAGGGUUGUAAAGCUCUUUCACCGGUGAAGAUAAUGACGGUAACCGGAGAAGAAGCCCCGGCUAACUUCGUGCCAGCCGCCGCCGUAAUAC
rnacentral:rRNA from 1 species